UACGAAGGGUGCUAGCGUUGUUCGGAAUUACUGGGCGUAAAGCGUGCGUAGGUGGCUUAUCAAGUCAGGGGUGAAAUCCUGGGGCUCAACCCCAGAACUGCCCUUGAAACUGAUAAGCUAGAGUCUUGGAGGGGAUAGCGGAAUUGCUAAUGUAGAGGUGAAAUUCGUAGAUAUUAGCAGGAACACCGGUGGCGAAGGCGGCUAUCUGGACAAGCACUGACACUCUGGCACGAAAGCGCGGGGAUCAAACAGG
rnacentral:rRNA from 1 species